UAAGCCAAGGAUAUGGUUUGUCUCAGGAUGAGACCGGUGUACUAGGAUGGUAUGUCGAACAAGGACUGUGAAGGGAUCGCCGAGGAACGGCAAAUGGUAGGUAGGAAGCUUGCCAGUCAGGAUGACACAAGGACCACUUCAGGACGAAGUUAGGGACACCUCCAGGAUGGAUGUUGAGAGUCAGGACAGGAUGGACUGACGGGUCAGGAUGGCCACAGGAUCACUUCAGGACGAAGUAAAAAAGGACAAGGCUGAAGGAAUACAGCUGUCAACGGAAUGAUGCAGGGAGCACCACAGUAGCGGGAUUGCUGCAAGUAAGACCUAAGGGCGCAACGCAAGUUGCGCCCGUUCUUUUUUGU
rnacentral:other from 1 species